UAAAGACAGUAACCAUAUGCUGCACAGC
rnacentral:sRNA from 1 species